rnacentral:rRNA from 1 species
UGGGAAUUUUGGACAAUGGGCGCAAGCCUGAUCCAGCCAUGCCGCGUGCGGGAAGAAGGCCUUCGGGUUGUAAACCGCUUUUGUCAGGGAAGAAAUCUUCUGAGUUAAUACCUCGGGAGGAUGACGGUACCUGAAGAAUAAGCACCGGCUAACUACGUGCCAGCAGCCGCGGUAAUACGUAGGGUGCAAGCGUUAAUCGGAAUUACUGGGCGUAAAGCGUGUGCAGGCGGUUUUGUAAGACAGAGGUGAAAUCCCCGGGCUCAACCUGGGAACUGCCUUUGUGACUGCAAGGCUUGAGUGCGGCAGAGGGGGAUGGAAUUCCGCGUGUAGCAGUGGAAAUGCGUAGAUAUGCGGNGGAACACCGAUGGCGAAGGCAAUCCCCUGGGCCUGCACUGACGCUCAUGCACGAAA